rnacentral:rRNA from 1 species
AUUGAACGCUGGCGGCAUGCCUUACACAUGCAAGUCGAACGGCAGCACGGGGGCAACCCUGGUGGCGAGUGGCGAACGGGUGAGUAACACAUCGGAACGUAUCCUGUUGUGGGGGAUAACUAGUCGAAAGAUUAGCUAAUACCGCAUGACCUCGGAAGAGAAAAGCAGGGGACCCGGAGACGGGCCUUGCGCGAUUGGAGCGGCCGAUGUCCGAUUAGCUAGUUGGUGGGGUAAAGGCCUACCAAGGCGACGAUCGGUAGCUGGUCUGAGAGGAUGAUCAGCCACACUGGGACUGAGACACGGCCCAGACUCCUACGGGAGGCAGCAGUGGGGAAUUUUGGACAAUGGGGGCAACCCUGAUCCAGCCAUGCCGCGUGAGUGAAGAAGGCCUGGUGUAAGUA